rnacentral:rRNA from 1 species
GCGUCAUAGAGGGUGAGAAUCCCGUCCUUGACAUGAACUACCAGUGCUCUGUGAUACAUUUUCAACGAGUCGAGUUGUUUGGGAAUGCAGCUCAAAAUGGGUGGUAAAUUCCAUCUAAAGCUAAAUAUUGGCGAGAGACCGAUAGCGAACAAGUACCGUGAGGGAAAGAUGAAAAGCACUUUGGAAAGAGAGUUAAACAGUAUGUGAAAUUGUUGAAAGGGAAACGAUUGAAGUCAGUCGUGCUCUUUGGAUUCAGCCGGUUCUGCCGGUGUACUUCCUUUGAGUGGGGUCAACAUCAGUUUUGAUCGCUGGAUAAAGGCUGGAGGAACGUAGUACCCUCGGGUAAACUUAUAGCCUCCUGUCACAUACAGUGGUUGGGACUGAGGAACGCAGCACGCCUUUAUGGCCGGGAUUCGUCCACGUACGUGCUUAGGAUGUUGA